AGGAUGAACGCUAGCGGCAGGCUUAACACAUGCAAGUCGAGGGGUAUAGUUCUUCGGAAUUAGAGACCGGCGCACGGGUGCGUAACGCGUAUGCAAUCUACCUUUUACAGAGGGAUAGCCCAGAGAAAUUUGGAUUAAUACCUCAUAGCAUUAUGAAAUGGCAUCAUUUUAUAAUUAAAGUCACAACGGUAAAAGAUGAGCAUGCGUCCCAUUAGCUAGAUGGUAAGGUAACGGCUUACCAUGGCUACGAU
rnacentral:rRNA from 1 species